UUGGACUGCCUUUUUUCCCUCUCUCACAUCUCUCACCAUCUCUUUCUCAAAUUUCUGAUUUCUCUGCAAGAUUUUUAUACGAAGCACAUCAAAUCGAAGCUACCUUCUCCUACACAACAAAUAACAGUCGAAUCCAUCACAAGGUUGCUGUCAUCUGGAGUAGUUGAACAUAGCUUCAUUCGUUGUCUUUCAUUUUCGAGUUAAAGACAAGGUAACGAUGUAGUCUUCACUCUUGUGCUUGUUGUGCUGACUACUGAAAAUGCCAUGCGAAACGACUGGGGGUUUAUGCCUUGCAUUAAAUUGUUUGGGCUAUUUGAAAUAAUUAGGGAUCUAUAAAUUUUGAGUAAAAUAUCUAACAUCAUUUUCAUUUUUUUCAUAUCUAACAUCAAUAAUUGAUGCCAAAUAUCUAACAUCAUUUUCAUUUUUUUCCUAAAGAUCAAACUUUUAUUAGGUGAGUCUUGGUUAAAUUGUUUGGGCUAUUUGAAAUAAUUAGGGAUCUAUAAAUUUUGAGUAAAAUAUCUAACAUCAUUUUCAUUUUUUUCAUAUCUAACAUCAAUAAUUGAUGCCAAAUAUCUAACAUCAUUUUCAUUUUUUUCCUAAAGAUCAAACUUUUAUUAGGCGAGUCGUAGUCUAAUGUUGGGUUUUUGCUUGUGCCUCAAGUUUGUUAUGCAAUGUGCAUACAAGUUCAAGUCUCCACAUGAUGCGGACAAUUUUUUUCCCCUUAAAUGUAAGUAUGGUAAUAUCUUUCCAAACGUCAGUUCCAAAUAUUAGUGGGUGCAGAUUUCUGAACUGAUCUUGUGUCAUUUGUUCAUUUUAAUUUUUCACUUUGUGUAAAGGUAAUUUUAUCUCUAUCUAUGAUGUUUGUCUACUCAUAUCUUUAAAUUUAUGGUGAUUGUGAUUAUUUAUUGAUUUAUUAUUAUUAGUUUAGUAAGUUAUUUCCUUUCAGAUCAUGGAUCCAUAUCAAGGGGAUUUCAUAUAUGCUACAAUAUAUUGACCUUUACCCG
rnacentral:lncRNA from 1 species